rnacentral:rRNA from 1 species
GACGAACGCUGGCGGCGUGCCUAACACAUGCAAGUCGAACGGGACUGGGGGCAACCCCAGUUCAGUGGCGGACGGGUGCGUAACACGUGAGGAACAUGACUUUCGGUGGGGGAUAGCCGGCCCAACGGCCGGGUAAUACCGCGUACGACCUCUCGGGGACAUCCCCGGUUGGUGAAAGCAGCAAUGCGCUGAAAGAGUACCUCGCGGCCUAUCAGCUAGUUGGUGGGGUAACGGCCCACCAAGGCGACGACGGGUAGCUGGUCUGAGAGGAUGGCCAGCCACAUUGGGACUGAGAAACGGCCCAGACUCCUACGGGGGGCAGCAGUGGGGAAUAUUGCGCAAUGGGCGAAAGCCUGACGCAGCGACGCCGCGUGUGGGAUGACGGCCUUCGGGUUGUAAACCACUGUCGGGAGGGACGAAUGCCCCGCAAGGGGAGUGACGGUACCUCCAAAGGAAGCACCGGCUAACUACGUGCCAGCCGCCGCCGUAAGAC